rnacentral:rRNA from 1 species
GACGAACGCUGGCGGCACGCUUAACACAUGCAAGUCGAACGGAGUUAAUUGGAGCUUGCUUUGAUUAACUUAGUGGCGGACGGGUGAGUAACACGUGAGCAACCUGCCUUUAAGAGAGGAAUAACAGUCUGAAAAGACUGCUAAUACCUCAUAACAUAACGAAGCCGCAUGACUUUGUUAUCGUAGAUUUAUCGCUUAAAGACGGGCUCGCGUCUGAUUAGCUUGUUGGUGAGGUAACGGCCCACCAAGGCGACGAUCAGUAGCCGUACUGAGAGGUAGAUCGGCCACAUUGGGACUGAGACACGGCCCAGACUCCUACGGGAGGCAGCAGUGGGGAAUAUUGCACAAUGGAGGAAACUCUGAUGCAGCGAUGCCGCGUGAGGGAAGAAGGUUUUCGGAUUGUAAACCUCUGUCUUCAGGGACGAUAAUGACGGUACCUGAGGAGGAAGCUCCGGCUAACUACGUGCCAGCCGCCGCAGUAA